AAAGGGAGCUAUAGUACCGGUGCGUGAAAGCACGUCUGGUUGUUCCGGCGGCCGCCUGGUCUUCCUCCCUUUUCCUCCCUUGUAGACAUUGGUACAGUCCAACAGCUGGAACGUGGGCCGGGAAAUUGAGCACGUGCAGGACGAUGGGGAGCGUGUGGGUGCCUGUGUUCUUACUUGUCUCCGCUUUCCUUUGGCUGCAGAAGGGCAGGCUUUGCCUGCGGUCAGUAGUGUUGGGAUUAGUUAGGUUACAGCUGUGCUUCACAAUCGCCCCACGUGCCCCUGCCUUUCCUUUUAUUAGGACCAUUCUGGAGCGAUGAGAUGAGUCUACUAGUAGGGAUGUGUGUGUGUGUGUGUGUGUGAGUGUGUGUGUGUGUGUUUGACGCCAGCCUGAGCUACACAGUGAGACCCUGUCUCAAACGUACCCCUGCCUUUCCUUUUAUUAGGACCAUUCUGGAGCGAUGAGAUGAGUCUACUAGUAGGUGUGUGUGUGUGUGUGUGUGUGUGUGUGUGUGUGUGUGUGUGUGUGUGUGUUUGACGCCAGCCUGAGCUACACAGUGAGACCCUGUCUCAAAACACCAGGGACAGAGAGGCAAUAGAGGCAAUACUAUGGAACAUAGUGAUGCCCUUUAAGUCUAAUAGCCGCCCUCUUUCCCUCAACUUCAGGGUUUUUUUGUUACUUUCUUGUUGGUUUUUGUUUUUUGCUUUAUUGAGACAGGGUUUCUCUAUGUAGCCAUGGCUGCCCUGGAGAACAGGCUGGCCUUGAAUUCAAAGAUCCACCAGCCUCUGCAUCUGAGUGCUGGGAUUAAAGGCAAGUGCCACCGCCCUUGGUUUUCAACUUCAAUUUUCAUGUCUGUAAAAUGGGAACAAACAACAGAUGCUUUGGGAACUAAGGAGGUGAGGUAUGAAAGGCACUCAGCUCGUUACUGGCACUUAAGGAUAGGAACUCUUUCCACUGCCCACGACUGAGUAGGAGUUUUUACAGAAUGAGAGCGUGAGGGCAAGCAGAAGGCCAGGCGUAAUGUCUGAAGAGUCAGCAUGUUUGGAGUCAUGAUUUGUAGUCCAGGCAACCGUGAGGCUGCAGUGACCUGGGCUGGAGCUUGGUCUUAGGAGAUCCUCGAGUGUCUCAUCUCUCCAGACCUGGGGGUGGGAGGGACUGGGUUCUUGGAAGAACCUUAAUGAAGGAAAUGGUAGCAGUGGAGUGAAUUCUAGGAGCCCUCUAGACAGCCUGAGGACAGGGGGACAGGCUGUGGGAGGGAGCUGGGUGAGAGAGGAAGAACCUCAAGCAAAGACAAUGCCCUGCAGAAAAAAAAAGCCGAGGACCCUUGCCGGCCACACGUAAGCCCUGGGGCCCAUGGCCUUCGCCUUGGAGAGAGGAAAAGAAAGCCCAGGAAAGGAUGGAUACUCCCAAAGGAAAACACUGUGAGGGGGACCUGGGAAGAGCUGAUGCCAUCACGACAGCCUUGGACAGGAGGAAACUGAACUCUACAACAGCCUCAGGACUCGUUUCCCAAACAAAGACUCCUCUAGUAAGUUCUGGGCUGCACAGAGUUGCCGAGAAGUGGGCAAGACUCGCUCGCAACAAAUCGGAAACCCACAACCCAGGGAAGCACCUCUGCCCAUGGCUGACGUAAAAAGAUGGAGGAAGUUAGAGAUGCCAGUAAAAGUGGAAGGGUUUUUUCCCCUCUUCUCCUUGAUGGAAUGCUGAACACCAGGUACAGAACAGGAAGUAAAGCUGAGGAAGGAGGGGAAGAAAUUAAUUCAAGAUCACAAAACUCCCACAGAGCCGGGCUGGACCCAUUAUCUGAGCUCCUGAGACAUCGUUCUUCCCAGACAUCCAGAGACCACGGUGCCCGUUCCCCCGAUCUCCCUAGCAGCUGGGCCUUUCUUGGGGGAUUCGAUGCCCUCUUCAGACCUCCGGGGACACCAGUCAAGCACAUGGUGCAUGACUAUACACACAAGCAAAACACUCAAACACAUUAAAUAAAAUACUGAAAACCAAAAAGAAACGAGGAUGACGGAGAGAACAGAAAACUUUUGCUCAGUGUGACAGAAAGCUGGUGUUGGGACUUUGCAAGAGGCAGACAUUCUGGAGGUGGGAGGCGGUGAUGGGUCGAUGCACUUGGACAAUGAGAAGGUUUAUGUAACCCAUCUUUGGCCAUAAUUAAAGAUUGAAACGUGAGAUGGCUCAGUGGGUGAAGGAGCUUGCCCCUGAGUUAACCCUCAGAACUCACGGGUGGAAGGGGACAGCUGGUGUGUUCUGAUCGCCACAUGCACACUUGGGUGUGCAGCGCCCCCCCCAGCCCAGCCCCACCCCAGCCCCACCCCUAUCCCCACCACCCAUUAUCAAUAACUAUAAUAAAAGAUUGAAAAGGAGAACCUUCUCAAAACAAACACAGUUCUAACUUGAAGAAACAAAAUGAAACUUGACCCUGUCUGGAUGAGGGCUGUCAGGGAAAUAGGGGAAAGGUGAAACCUGCACGACUUCUGUUCAUCUCAGCAAACAGAAGCAACCAGGGAUGGGCUGUGCCAAUCAGCAGACCCUGCAGACACCGAGACCUGCCCAUCCCAAUCCGAGGGAGCUCACCUGCCCUGUACACCCAACCGGAAAGGCAUUAGAGGCCAGGCCGGCGGAGCAGGGAGGGAAAACCCUUUAAGACUGUUCCCACUACUGUGUCCUUCAUGCCGUGUCCGUCCUUUGACCGUCACAAAGCCUGGGAGCUGUGUCAAGUCAGUGAGGCCACAGGACAGAGUCAGUUAUACAACCUCGGUAUAUAACGAGAGCAAAAAUAGCCACCAGAUCUCAAAGCUCACGGUGUGCCAGGGGCCUGCCAAGUGCUCUGUGUGCUGUAUCCCUUUUCAUCCUCACCAGACCCUGUGAGGUCACUCCUGUGAUGGUCUUCAUUGACAGAUGAGGAAACUAAGUCACGGGCUAGAGGGAAGAACCAGGAAGACUCUUCUAAAACUUCUGAAUCUGUGUGGCUGUGCAAGCAGUGCCCUCUCCUCUUGGAAAUCUCUCUGGAGGCAGCAGCAACAGCAACAAUGUUCAAAUACAUGAGGACUGAUAUCACCAUAUGAACCAGCCUCACUCUACCAUCUGGAUCACAAUUAACCCCUCCUUCUCUGGCCUAACGAAGGUCAGACAGACUCUGGUUACAGCCUCAGCUCUGUCCCUCAAAGGCAAUGUGAGCUUUGGGAAUUUAUUUAACUCCUUUGGGCCUCACUUUAUAUCAGUGAAAUGGAGAUAAUAGUCCCUACCUCAAAGGUUGCUAGGAAAAACCAAGCUUGAAAAUGUCAAAUGACAAGUGUAAUGUCUGACACACAGCAGGUCCCCUGCUGUCCCUUCUUGAGAAUGAGUACUCAGCCAUCAGUACCUUUAUGUCUGUUACAGCUCUUAUCCCAGACUUCCCUCUGGUAGGGUUAUCUAUGUGUGGGUGUGCAUUCCUGUCUAGAAUGUGAGUCCCAUGAGGAUGAGGGCGUAUCUUUCCCACCCUCAAGCUCCCUGCAGCAUCUAGCCCAGGCCCUGUUCCUGCAGCCUGCCCUGGCCAGGCUGGAUCUCAGCUCACCUACGGUGGUGAUGGGCUGGCGGAAGGGCAUGAGCCCGAAGCUGUACUGGAAGAUACCGCGGCCAUGGAAGAGAGGGAGGGAGAUGCCCAUGAUCUUCUGCAGUCGGUUCUGGACACAGCGCAGCCAGGUGCCAUAUGUGUUCUCAACUUGGUUAAACAGGUUGUUCUCCCCGAAGGAGAAAAUUGGCACGAGGGCUGCCCUAGAGGACACAGGGGAGUAUGGGAGAAUCCAGAAAGGCACAGAUGCAAAGGUCACCCAGCCAGGAACUGGAGCAGAUCCGCCUUGAGCCCUCUCUGACCUCCAGAGAGCCUUUUCAGGCCCCCAGUCUCUCAUGUGGCUACCAUGAAGGGUAGAUCAGAAGGUUCUAGAGCCUCCUCCUCAGGGGAAAACAUUUUUACUUUUCACCUAGAAAAAUCUCCUCCUUGUGCCAGCUGGCUGCUCAGCUUCCUCAAUGAUGCCUCUCCCAGCCCUACCCUCCCAGAUUCCCAAAGGUCCCAGGGCACACACCAGCAGCAGGAAACAUGUCCCUUCUCACCACUGAUUCCCCCAGUCUCCUUUAUGGAAAUGUAUCUAGAAACUCGGCUGUGAGGCACCAACUUAACAAUUUUCGUCAUAUGGCCUGAGAAUCUCCUUGCCAAAAUAGAAGCUAUGAUCAUCUUUGCUGUCUCCCCAACCCAGAGUGUUGUCCCCAGAAUUCCGUACCCAUACAUCAGGGCAAGCCUGACGAAGCCCUUGCGAUUCUUCAGCAGCAGCUUGUAGGCUCCGGGCCUGGCAUCCAGUGCCUCCUGGGAGCCCCCGACGAUGAUGGCCAGCAAGUUCCCACCGCCCUUCCUGUUCAGGAUGUGACCAGCACUCUCCUUUUCUGAUGUGACCAGCCCUAGGGAGAGAGCAAGGUGGGUCAGACACCAGGGGAAGGGGCAGGACUGUGAAGAUGAGAACAGCCCAAGAGAGAAACCAUCAACAAUGCUCACAGAGCCAGGAUUCCCCCCACGACACCCCCACCAGCUGGGGAUCUCUGAACCCUCUUCCUCCUCCCACCCCGGCAUGGGCUUUCCCAGCACAGCGAUGCAGGAAGUUCUUCUUUGGGUUUAGCCUCUGCUAUUGCUGAACCAGCACUUGGAAGGAACACAGAACUACGGACAGCCUGUUCCCAGAUGCCUCUGCCUACCCAGCAGCCUCAUCUUCCUGAGCUACUUGGGGCCGGGGUGAGGAGACUCACCCCCGCUCAUGAUGUAAUCCCGGAAGAAGGGGGCCCGGAACCACAGAGUCAGCAUCAUCAGGUAAGGGCGGAUUCCUGGGAAGAGUGAGGUAAAGCCCGUGCUUUCAGUACACAGGUUGAGAAAGGCCCCUGCGGCCAGGACUCCAUGGGGGUGGAAGCCUGCGAUGUAGUUCUGGGAAGGGUCCAGCUCAGCCGUCUUGACCAACUGCAAGAGACAGCAAGCUGGUGAUGAGCAGCAGGGUCUGUAUGCCAGUCCUGGCUCUUCUACUGCUCUGUGUUACUCUGGGACUCAGAGUCUCAGGUUCAUCAUAAGCCUGAGCUUCCUGGAUGCUUCUGCAGAGAGAGGUGUUGUGUGGGACAGUGGAUGAUACAUCGGUGCCGAAGGUUUCACAGACCAGAUGCUGGCUUUGGGCAAAUUGUUCACCCAGGCCUAUGUGAAGUUGGAAUAUUUGACCCUGUCUCAGGAAGACCCUGUCCCUUCUGCUGAGAGGUUCAAGUGAAAAGGGACCGGAAUUCCUAACUACUGGGUGGGAUGCUGUGAUGGUUUGAAUGGGAUUGGAUCCUAUAGGCUCAUAUAUUUGAAUGCGUGGUCCCUAGUUGGUGGAACUGUUUUGGAAAGGACUAGGAGGUGUGGCUUUGUUGGAGGAGGUGUGUCAUUGGGAGUGGGCUUUGAGAUUUCAAAAGCCAAUAACGGGCCCGGUCUGGCUUUCUCUCUGCCCCCAACUUGAGGAUAAGCUCCCUGCUAUUACUCCAGCGCCAUGCCUGCCUGCAUGCCACUAUACCUCCUGCCGUGACGACCGUGGACUGACCUCUGAAACUGUGGGCAAGCCCCUGGUUAAGUGUUUCCUUUUAUCGGUUGUCUGGGUCACGGUGUCUCUUCGUAGCGAUAGGAAAGUACACAAGUGAAGGACGUGAGGGCCACAAGGGGGCCUCACUGUGCUGGAAUCACUCCAUCUCAACCUCACUCAAAAGACAAGUUGGCCCAUCCACCCGAGGAGUGAGUGAUUACAAGCUAGACCAGGAACAGAUUUUGAUCUUGUUGACAGCCCUCGGGGGCCUGAGACCGGCUCUGGUCCUGUGGAACUGGUGGGUCAUGGGAGUGUUUCUGCUGUCCCCAGGCCAAACCUAACUCCAACUUUACUAACUCUCUGUGCCAUGCCAGGGCCAGGGCAGAAACUUACCCUGACUGGUCAGGCCUGAAGCAUCAAGGGCCCAGAGUUACCACCGGAAACGGAGUGAGAGCCACAUGCCAUCCCACAGUUCUCGGUGAAGUGGGGUGAGGAACGGGUAUGGCGGGGGCUGAGGAGAUGGCCCACUGUGUAAAAGCAUUCGCUGUGUAAGCGCAAGGGCUUGAGUCUGGAUUCCCAGAACCCAUGUCAAAGUCAGAUACACGGCAUGGAUGGCCAUCAUCCACAGUGAGGUGGGGGCAGAAACGGGAGACUCUCUAGAAGCCGGAGGACUAGCUAACCUGGCCUGAACAGGAAGGAAACAGCAGAGACCCUGUCACAAAUUAGAUGGAAGGCAAGAACCAGCUCCUUCAGUUGUUCUCUGACCUCCACUAGUGGGCCAUCACACACACACACACACACACACACACACACACACACACACACACACACAGACACACUGAUCUGCCUGGGUGGUAGCCAAGUCCAAAGAUCAUUGCUGGAGGCUGUGUUCUAGGUGGCACCAAUCCCUUCCCACUGCCAGGAACCUGCUCUCCGGGUCUCAGUGCCCUGUGCUCUGGGAGCCACAGCUAUGGGAGCUGAGAACAGCCCAUAUCUCCUGGCACACCUGGGCAGGAGGCGUCCUGGUAAGACAGGUGGCAGGGACUUUGCACCCCCUGGGAGAAGGGCAGCCCUUUCCACCGGCUAAGCUUUGCCAGGUGAACCGUCACCCUGCCAGCAAGCUGAAACUCACGGUAGCUGUCUCCCUGGGCAUGCUUCUUGCUGUCUCUGAGGCCACCGAAGCAGCCGGCCUCAACAUCCUGACAGUAGAGAUGAGGUCCUAAGCCUGUCCCCAUGCGGACUACAGAGCUUCCAAUCCUCCUGUCCUCAAUCUUGAGUUGACCUCUGACCUCUUACCACACGGAGUCCACCAAACCCCUCCAGAGCACGGCAAGCCCCUCCCUGCAAGGCCUGCAGGAGCCACAGGCAGGGGGGCUGUUGCCUGCCCAGACAAGGCCUAGCCCCUUCCCCUAGUACAGAGGGGACCUAGGAGAUGAUGGAAACCCCAGCAAGGUCAGGGCUCUGGCUUACGCAGGAUCCUGCCAAUGCUGCUCAUUCCUUGCUCCACACGUGGGAACGCUUGCUAUUUACAUUCUGCACCUCUGUGGAAACAACUGGACAUUUGUGAAAAAGCAAAACAAAAGAGAACAGAUCUCUCAUCCCAGGAACCCCACUGCCAAGGAAUGAUUUAGCCUACAGGAUUGUUUGCAUUCUGGUCAAAUGCCAUCCGAGCCAUGCCAUUCACGGAAGCAUCAGUUUUUGCUAACAUCAGGAACUUGUCCACCAACAGGGCUUGUCUGGGCAAACUGGGAAUGAGGCAGAUGAGGGAGGACUCCGGCCACAGAGGAGUGUGAAGCAAGCCAGGAUGGCAUGUUACGUGAACAGCAAGAAGCAGGGCAAAGUGUGCAGGACAUGGCAAGGGGAGAGGAGGGGACACCACGGCUAAUGGCUACACCAAACACUCAUGGUCCGAGCUGCUCCCAGGGAUGGGAUCUGGGGUGAUUGGUAUGCCUAGAAUGGGGGAGUAGGGACUCUGUGUGUGUGUGUGUGUGUGUGUGUGUGCGCGCGCGCGCGCGCGUGUAGGUCAGAGGACAACCUCAGGUAUCACUUACGUCCUUUGAGACAAGGGUCUCUCAUUUGGCCCAGCAUUCACAAGUGAGGCUACACUAUCUGGCCAGCGAACCCCGGGGGUCCUCUGUUUCCACCCCAGCGACAGGACUGAAGUGAGCAUUACAACCUGGCGUUUUUACACUAGUACUGGGCAUCAAAUCCGAGUCCCUGGGCUUGUGAGGCAAGCGCUUUACUGCCUGAGCCAUUCUCCAGUCCUAAAACGAAGUCUCUCAUACCUGCUUUUUUUGUUCUCUGGAAUAUUGAACAAGAACACAUCACUGGUUUAAAUAAACAAGUGAACAAA